rnacentral:rRNA from 1 species
CCUACGGGAGGCUGCAGUGGGGAAUAUUGCACAAUGGGGGAAACCCUGAUGCAGCGACGCCGCGUGAGUGAAGAAGUAUUUCGUUAUGUAAAGCUCUAUCAGCAGGGAAGAAAAUGACGGUACCUGAGUAAGAAGCCCCGGCUAACUACGUGCCAGCAGCCGCGGUAAUACGUAGGGGGCAAGCGUUAUCCGGAUUUACUGGGUGUAAAGGGAGCGUAGACGGGAGUGCAAGUCUGGAGUGAAAGGCGAGGGCUCAACCCACGGACUGCCCUGGAAACUGUACGGCUGGAGUGCAGGAGAGGUAGGUGGAAUUCCUGGUGUAGCGGUGAAAUGCGUAGAUAUUAGGAGGAACACCAAUGGCGAAGGCGGCUUACUAGACUGUAACUGACGUUGAGGCUCGAAAGCGUGGGGAGCAAACAGGAUUAGAUACCCCAGUAGUC